rnacentral:rRNA from 11 species
CAUGGCUGCCUAAAUACUCUAAAUGCACCCAAACUAUUCAGAUCUUGGAUGCUAAGUGGCAUCAGCUCUGGUUAGAAUUUUGAUGGGAGAUCGCUAAUGAAUACCAUCUGCUGUAGGCUAUGU